AACGAACGCUGGCGGCAUGCCUAACACAUGCAAGUCGAACGAGACCUUCGUGUCUAGUUGCGCACGGGUGCGUAACGCGUGGGAACGUUCAGGUAGGUUCGGAAUAACUCCCCUAAGGGGGUGCUAAUACCGGAUAAUUUCUGCGGACCAAAGAUAUAUCGCCUUUGGAUGGGCCCGCGUUGGAUUAGCUAGUUGGUAGGGUAAAAGCCUACCAAGGCGACGAUCCAUAGCUGGUCUGAGAGGAUGAUCAGCCACACUGUGACUGAGACACGGCCCAGACUCUUACGGGAGGCAGCCGUGGGGAAUAUUGCCAAAUGGGCGAAAGCCUGAUCCAGCACUGCCGCGUGAGUCAUGAAGGCCUUAGGGUUGUAAAGCUCUUUUACCCGCGAUGAUAAUGACAGUACCGGAAGAAUAAGCGCCGGCUAACUCCGUG
rnacentral:rRNA from 1 species